rnacentral:rRNA from 1 species
AAACUNGGGAUAAUAUCNGAUAUUUCAAGGCUGCUGNAAUNCNCUUGAUUAAAAGCUCCCGCNCCUAAGGAUGAGUCUGUGGCCUAUCAGGUAGUAGUGGGUGUAAAGUACCUACUAGCCAGUGACAGGUACGGUUGUGAGAGCAAGAUCCCGGAGAUGGAUUCUGAGACACGAAUCCAGGCCCUACGGGGUGCAGCAGGCGCGAAACCUUUACAAUGCGCGAAAGCGCGAUAAGGGAACCCUGAGUGCCAGCACACAGUGUUGGCUGUCCAACUGUUCAAAAAACAGCUGAUAGCAAGGGCCGGGCAAGACCGGUGCCAGCCGCCGCGGUAACACCGGCGGCCCGAGUGGUAACCGAUUUUAUUGGGCUUAAAGCGUUCGUAGCCGGUUUGGAAAGUCUCUUAGGAAAUCUGGCAGCUUAACUGCUAGGCGUCUAAGAGAUACUGUUAAACUUGGGACCGGGAGAGGUAGGAGGUACUCCAUGGGUAGGGGUGAAAUCUUGUAAUCCUUGGAGGACCAUCGAUGGCGAAGGCAUCCUACCAGAACGGGUCCGACGGUGAGGGACGAAAGCUGGGGGCACAAACCGGAUUAGAUACCCGGGUAGUCCCAGCUGUAAACGAUGCUCGCUAGGUGUCGGGUACGGUGCGUCCGUAUUCGGUGCCGUAGGGAAACCGCGAAGCGAGCCGCCUGGGAAGUACGGUCGCAAGGCUGAAACUUAAAGGAAUUGGCGGGGGAGCAC